rnacentral:rRNA from 1 species
CAGUCGCCACGGUAAAACGAAGGGUGCAAGCGUUAAUCGGAAUUACUGGGCGUAAAGCGUGCGUAGGCGGUGAGUUAAGUCUGCUGUGAAAUCCCUGGGCUCAACCUGGGAAUUGCAGUGGAUACUGGGUCACUAGAGUGUGGUAGAGGAUAGUGGAAUUUCCGGUGUAGCAGUGAAAUGCGUAGAGAUCGGAAGGAACAUCUGUGGCGAAGGCGACUAUCUGGGCCAACACUGACACUGAGGCACGAAAGCGUGGGGAGCAAACAGGAUUAGAUACCCCUGUAGUCCCUGUCUCUUAUAC